CCUACGGGUGGCAGCAGUGAGGAAUAUUGGUCAAUGGACGAGAGUCUGAACCAGCCAAGUAGCGUGAAGGAUGACUGCCCUAUGGGUUGUAAACUUCUUUUAUAUGGGAAUAAAAUGUUCCACGUGUGGGAUUUUGUAUGUACCAUAUGAAUAAGGAUCGGCUAACUCCGUGCCAGCAGCCGCGGUACUACGUAGGAUCAGAGCGUUAUCCGGUUUUAUUGGGUUUAAAGGGAGCGUAGGUGGAUUGUUAAGUCAGUUGUGAAAGUUUGCGGCUCAACCGUAAAAUUGCAGUUGAAACUGGCAGUCUUGAGUACAGUAGAGGUGGGCGGAAUUCGUGGUGUAGCGGUGAGAUGCUUAGAUAUCGCGCAGAACCCCGAUUGCGAAGGCAGCGUACCGGCUCCACACUGAGGCUGAGGCACGAAAGCGUGGGUAUCGAACAGGAUUAGAUACCCUUGUAGUC
rnacentral:rRNA from 1 species